UUUGUCUUCCAUAUGACAAUACAUUCGUCCGAAGAUAUGUCCCAUCAUGUAAAGAGUAGCAAAAUAGCAGUAGCAGUAGGUAAUCACAAAUAAUUUUUUGUGCCAAAACUUAUAGUACAUGAUACUCAAAACAUGUAGUAGAACCCAGUUCAUUAAUGCCACGAUUCGUCAAGAGGGACAGAACCCAGUUCGUCAACAUCUGAAAGUUUCAGAAAUACUAGAUGGCUACUACAAAACCUUUUUGAGACAUAUAUCCACCUCAUUGAUGCCACGAUUCUAGUACUAGUAGACAGGCAGCCGGGAAACCAGAAGGUUUAAUCUGCACAGAUCAUAACUGAAAAAAAAAACAAGUGCACUAAUAGACGCACACAUAGGUGACAUAAGUUCCUCUAAACAAUCCCUUGGGUAGAACGAAUUUGAUCUGUCAACGUCAGCAAGCACAUGAACUGGACUUCUUACGCGAAAUGUUCUUCCUGAUCUCCUUUUUGCACAUAGGCCUUUUUCGAGACACCGUUUCUUGCCACUGUAAUUUCCGUUAGAUAAU
rnacentral:lncRNA from 1 species